UAGCUAGCUAGUAAAUAUUCACUUCAAGAGCUAGAAGCAACUAUCAGAAACCAUGAAUUGAUUGGAACAAAAUGGAGUUUGGUGCUUGAUCCCUUAAAGCCCUUUUGCUUCUUCCUCAUUCUCAGCUUAUCUAUUUCUAUUGAAGUAUUUCUGAGAGUUAGCAUCAAAAUACUGGAUUUUUCAUUUACUCUCCAGGCGACAAACUGUGAAAACACAUAUAAUACAUAAAGGUCAUAGAGUCUCAUUUUAUUUUAAACUAAACACCUGGAUUUAAUUCAGAACUUGUACAUUAAAACUAUUAUUUAAAAUAAAAGUCACACUGUUCCAUUCAAGAGGAUGGGAAUGUAGAAAGCCUAUGCUCAUUACCACCUGUGCUAUGGCAGCUAAGUGCUCAUUGUCCUGAUCCUUAUUAUUGCCUUAUCCUUCAUUUUUAUUAUGUCAUUGUAGAUAAUGUGAGUAGAAAAAUACUUCAGCAGCAGCAGAUAGCUUACAGAAGGUUUUUAAAAGAAACUCAGUGAGCAAACCUAGAGGCUUCCUAAAGGAAAAUAGCAAAUACGAAGCGUGGAAGGGGAAACGUAAGUGUGCGGUUGAAACUGUUUUAAUGGUUACUUUUUAAGAAGGAAAAGGGUAUUAUUUCUAUGUUGAAAGGAAGCCUGUGAAGAGGAAGGAGAGGACCUUGCAGGCUAACUACACUCAGCACUUCACCGAGCUAUCACUGAAUCCCAAGGAGGUUGUGGAUGCCCCAUCCCUGGAGGCAUUCAAAGCCAGGCUGGAUGUGACUCUGGGCAGCCUGGUCUAGUGCUUGGCGACCCUGCCCAUGGCAGGGGGAUUGAAACUAAAUGAUCUUUGAGGUCCUUUUCAACCCAGGCCAUUCUAUGAUUCUAUGAAUCACUGAGGUAAAGAAUCUGAAAGGUAUAAUCAUCUGAACCUGGUUCCCAGUUAGAUAUCUGUUAAAAUGUAACUCUUGGACACAGAAAUUAAACGUGGUUUUAUUUGCCCUAUAGGAAGUAAAACACCAUACAAGAAUUUUCUCCUCAGCAGUUUCAGGAAGAACACAGUCGUGCACCUAGGCCUGGCUGGUCUCAUGGAGCACAGACAUUGCUCUAUACCAGACAGCUCCUGUUUGCCCUGAGAAAGGGAGCAGGGUGGCAUUUUGUUCCCAGGGUUCCUCUGUCUGCUGGCCUCCAGUUACAAGGCUGUCCCCUUCUCCUCCUGCACUGCCAGCAGCUGACCCAUCAGGGCACUGCUGCAGUGACUCCCUCCAGCUACUCUGGUCAUCAAACAUGCCAGAAGUGGUCCUGACCUGGGCUGGUUUCCUGAUGGUGACAGUGCAGAAGGAAUGAUGAAGACCAGAGUCAGAGACAGCCAACUGCCAGGCCAAGUUUAACUCCGCACACACCUUACUCUGCCCACCCUCCCUCACACAUGAACAGUGAUGGAGCUGGCAGAGUACCAGAGGUGAGAGGAGGGCGCAGAUAAGCAGUGCCCUGCUGUGUGCUGACAGGAAGGGCAGAGCGGGAGGAAGCAGCUGAGCAACUCCACGCCUGUCCCUGUUGCUGUUUGCUCCCAGCCCUGCCCAGCAGGACAAUGCCAUGAAACAUUCUGCCACCCCCUCCCCACUUCCACUGUAAGUUAGCUGAAACCUUCUGCCCCUCCUCCCCCCCCAACCUCCACUGUAAGUUAGCCGUAAGCAGCUAACACAGCAUCAGCCUGCAGCUCUACUUAACACUGUUACCAUCUCAAGCUAUGCUAACCGUGGGGUACUGCAGACACUGCCCCGUUUCUUAGUAAGAAAACUAUUUAUUGCUACUACUAUCCAUUUAAAUCAGCUUAAAAGGCUCCUAGCUGAUUAUUUGUUUGGGAUCAAGUAUCCUCUGCGAUCUCAGGUAAACAAGGAAUCAACUUCAAAGGGCUUGCCCUGCUCUGCCCACUCCUGCAGACAGCUUCCUCCUGGCAGGCUCCCAGCGCAGAUCCCAUCUAUAUGGGUGGAGGGGAAGGAGAGUGGAGCAGGCACCCGGAAUCAGCCCAGGUAAGGUGCAAAACAACAGAGGGGUGGAGCCUCAAGAGGGGAAAAAAAAAAAAAAAAAGGCAAAAAAGCCCUGAACACCAAACUGAGCAAGGGUUUAAAGCCUGGAGAUGGAAUCUGGGGUGUAAAUUUUAAAAACGUCUCAUGCAGCAUCAGGACAUGUUAUAUUCAUCUAUCCAAAUACCACACCAAACAAAGGUCUCUCUCAACACCAACACGAUACUAAAUGGGAAAAUGAAGAACAGAAACUAAAACUAAGACAGCUUUCUGCUCAGCCCAGCUAUCAGCACAUCUGCCUUCUGCAGGGGCAACUGCCAGGGCUGGCACCAAAUGCUUAUGACAUGGGCAUCUGACAUGGGCAGCAUUCAGCAGGGAGCACUGCAGCUCUGUGCAAUGCACCAACACCACCGAUAGCAGCACAGUGGCUUCCACCAAGAGAUGAAUUCACGCGUCUUUGGUGUGUGUGAACAACUUUUUGUGGCUGUUCUGCACUGAUGUUUCCAGGACUGAAGAAGUCUGCACACUAGAAACAGGAGCUGCCCACAGAGCCUCCCUCCCUACACCUGCAUGGAGGGAAGCGGUGAAAGCCCGCAGCUGACACCCACAGCAGACACCCUGAAGGGUGAAGCAUGAGGCCCUUCCACUGGUGGUGAGGCAGCUUUGAGUCCUCCAUCAGCAUCAUGCUCCAGGAGCCGCUCUUGGGAGGCCCUACGGAAGCUGCUGACAAUAAGAAACCGCAAGGAAGGACAAAGAACUUCCCACCCUGUCUUCCUACAGGCAUCGCUUUUAGGCCUACAUGAUUCUGUCAGUGUGUUUUCAAAGCAGAACAGCAUUUCCAUUCUUCCCAACUCAGAGGCAGAAGUACACACCUUACUGUCUCUUUGUGUCACGCAGGGGUGGUGGGGCAGGAGCGCAGCACUGCAGGGCUCUCUGGCAGAUGUUCCCCACACAGUAGCACCCCGCUACGUGGGCACAGCCCCAUGGUGCGCUGGGAACAGCCUCAACACAGCCACCUGGGCACUCCGCACACAUUUUGAUACUGCAGGUGCUCUGCUCUCCUCCCCUUUCUACUCAGCCACCAGCAGAGCAAGGUCAGGGAGCUGCCGAGGCCUGAUGCCAGUCGUGUGGGAGAUAAGCGGUUAUGGAGCGUCACGCUGAGGGCUGCUGCCUGGAGCACAAUUCAUCCCGGGACGGCCAUGGGCAUCUUUCUUACGGCCUCCCAGCGGGCGGCUGUUCAGUGCAAGGCAGCGGUCAGCAGAGCCGGGUACUGACGUAAGACAAAUCAAAGCGACUCCGUGUAGCAACGCACAAAGGUGCACACAACUGCGCGCAGCACCGCGGCCAAAGGGCGCACCGACAGGGCCGGCUUGCUGUUUUGUUUUUUAAACCACAGCGCUGCCCACGACGCGCUGGGCCCGGCCCGGCCCUGCGGCCCCUCAGACGGAACGGACCCAUCGCCGUCGCAGCCACCACCCCCGCGCCUUUGUGCCCCGCGGGCGGGGCGUGGCGGGGCGGGGCGGCGCGGGCAGACAAUGCGCGAUCUGUGCGGCGCCCCGCCGAUUGGCCCGCGCCGCCCGUGCCCAUGAUGUCAUGCGGGUGGAAUGCGCAGCGCGGGGGGCGGCUCGGCCCAGCGGCACGGCACGGCUGCGCCCACCGCCCGCUGCCCUCGGCCCGGUUCGGGUUUGUUCUGAGGGCCGGGGCGCGGCGCUCCGCGUCAGGGCACGGGGAGCCGGGGCGGCCGCUCCGUACUCGUCGCGGCCGGGCCCCGACGGCGCUCCGCCGCGCUCCGAACGACGUCCCGAGGGCAGCGCCGUCCCGGUGGCGGCGGGAGCGGCCCUCCGGCCGUGCCGCAGGGUGCCGGGCCCGUCCCGCCGCCGGCGAUCUCCCCGCGCGCAGCCGCGCAUCGCGCCCCGUCCCGCCGCCGGCGCGGACAAAGGCGGACUCGUCCCGCGCCGCCGGUCCCGCCCGUACCUUGUUCUUGACCUCGGCGGAGAGCCCGUAAGAGGGCCCCUUGUUGAAGUGGGUCAUGUCCGCGGUCUCCCCGCUGCCUGGGGGCGCUGGCGGCGGGCGCUCACUGCGGCGGGCUGAGGCGAGAGUCCGCCCGCGGCCGCGGAAAGUUCUAGUCCCUCCCUCGCGGCCCGGCCCCGCGGCCGUUGGGGCCGCCCGCGCGCCAAUCGCGGCGCGAGGUGAGGGAGCCCCUCCCGGGACGGCCGGGGAGGGGGCGCCGGGCCCGCCCCGCCACCGACGCGCCGCGGGCGGGCGCCGCUCGGGGGGAGCGGGCGGCGAGCGGAGGGGUCGGGAGACGUCAACGGGAAGGAAUCCGCCGCCACCGAGGGCCGCGGCGCGGCCGGUAAUGCCUACCACGUGUGGGCCGGGGUCUGCGGUGCGGCCCGGCCGCCGAAGCGGGGCCGCUCCCGGUUAGGGGAAGCGGAGCUCCCCGAGGGGAAAGGAAAAGGACGGCGUGAGGAAAACGGCGGCUCGCGGACGCGCCGCGAAAGUCGAUCGGCGUUUGGGCGCUGCCGGGACCGCGCCGUCCUCGCGGCCCCGAGCAGCGCGUGAGCGAGGGCCCCGAGCCCUGCGGCCGGCGGGCACGGCGCCGUGGGCUGCAGCUGGAGCCGGGCUGCGGCUCGGGAGCUUCCAGGCAUCUACCGACGGCGUACCGCACCCCAGAAAUUACACGUUUCGUCCAUUCCGAAAUAAAGUGGUCCCGAUUAGCAGCAGACAGAAGUACGGGGUAGUAUUUUCCCGUCGGGCGAUCAGAUUUAAAUUACGCUCAAAUAAAUCACUCGGAGUUUUUACUUUUACCUCAUCUGAUCGGGGCACGACUGCCGUUUGGUGCCGUUCUUCUGACACCCGCGGGCCGCCAGGAGAGCUCCCAGCCUUUGGGUGACCGCUGCCGUACCAGCAGUGGGCUCAAACCCCGCGGGAGGAACAAAAAGGGAAACCUUUGAGCGCGGUUAGAAGCGCGUUCUGCACGGCAUCCCUCUGACAACACAAAGCCGACGGCAGCGCUCGGCGCGGGACAAAGCAGCUGGGGCGUGCGGGGCAAUCUGGCUCAUUAUGUGUAAAUCUCUUAUCUUUGCCCUAUUUUCCACAUUAUUACCGGGGCUGUUUGUAUGGGAAGAGGAUUUGUACAAGAAUUAUUCCCCACCUGAAAUCAUAAUCCUCUUUGUGACAUUGUAAUAACUUCUUCAGCAACCACAUGUGAUAAUCAUAAAUGUGUGCUGAUGACUUCAGCUGGAAACCGGCAGAAACGAGCCACAAGGAGACACAAUCUGUUUUCUUGGAAACAUGGACUAUAAUCUUGCAAACAUUCUUGCACAUGAGUUAUUGUAAGCAUAUGUGUAGUCCUAUUAAACUUCCCAAGCCUAAAUUA